rnacentral:lncRNA from 1 species
UCAGGGAUGUGGGUGUGGCCCGGGAGAUAUUGACCAAGGGGUCCUGCGUUUUCUCUCUAAAACCUGCCCCCCUUUUCACCAGCCCGUCUUGGAUGUUCCUUGCUGUGGUUGAACUAGCCCUGGAGAGAAAACAGGUCUGAGUGCAUCUCAGGGACUCUGCUUGGGCAUCCUCAGGGCAGGCUGGGCUUUGAAGUGCAGUUGUGAAGCCAUUUGUACCAGGCUGUAACCCUCUCCCCUGCUUCUCCCAGGAGGCACCAGAAGAGUCUCUGCCCCCUCUGCGGAAAGAGAGAGAAGUAGACAAAGCCGAGGAGGAGCAGCAAAGUGAGGAGCUGCUGGUAGGUGCCCCCUGCCCCUCAGGUUUGCCUGGGAUCAGAGUGCCCUGAGCGAUGAGGUGAAUGCAGGGCCCAGCCUACCAGGAAACCAUCCCCACUGGAGUCCAAGGAGCAUGCAGGGUCAGACAGAGACAGACAGAAGUUGAGAGGCAGAAAAUCAUCUGGGAGUGGAAGGAGCUGCAGGAGUUUUUGGAGGAGCAGGAGCAGCGGUUGCUGUCCCAGCUGGAAGAGCUAGAGAGAGCCAUUGUCCAGAGAAGGGAUGAGGGCCUCUGCAAACUUUCUGGGGAGAUUUCAGUGCUCUGUGAGAGAAGAGGAGAGAAAGGACAGCAGCCACUGAGCCAAUCUUUGCAGGGUGCUGGAAGCACUGGGAGCAGGGAGGACAGGAAGUUUCAGAAGCCAGAGCCGGGGUUAAUGAUGCUGGAGAAGAGACUCUGCGAUUUCUCUCUGAAAAGUGCCAUGUUGCAAGAGGUGCUGCUGGGAUUCAAAGGUGAAUUGAAGUCUGGGGUGGCGUCUU